CCCGGUGUGGCGGAAUAGGCAGACGCGCACGACUCAAAAUCGUGUUCCUCACGGAGGUGCCGGUUCGACCCCGGCCACCGGUA
rnacentral:tRNA from 1 species